CACGUAGGCGGAGAUAUAAGUUGAAUGUGAAAUCCCAUGGCUUACCCAUGGAACUGCGUUCAAAACUGUAUUUCUUGAGUUUAGAAGGGGAAAGUGGAACUCCUAGUGGAGCGGUGAAAUGCGUUGAUAUUAGGAGGAACGCCGGUGGCGAAAGCGACUUUCUGGUCUGUAACUGACGCUGAGGUGCGAAAGCUAGGGGAGCAAACG
rnacentral:rRNA from 1 species